GUCAGCCUUAAAAUCAUAUCCAGUUCCAGGCUGCAGAACUUCUGGUGCCAUCCAGCACGGAGUUCCUACAAAGGUAUUCCUAGACCGCUGUCUAUCACCACUGUCAAACAUGCAUGCGGAAACACCAAAAUCGCCCAGCUUUACUGCCCCAUUAGUGUCCAGUAAUAUAUUCCCAGCCUUCACAUCUCGAUGUAUGUGCCCAUGUCGAUGGAGAUAUUCCAACGCCUUGAGAGUUUCCUUCAACAUAGAACAAAUAGCAGAUUCUUCGAAUCCAUCUGGAUAUGCUAUUUUCAUGAGAUGUAGACAAGAGCCCUCAGCCAUGAAGGGCAUUACCACCCAUAGGUAGUUCUCAACAACAAAUGAACAGAAUGACUUUAUUACAUUAGGAUGGUCUAUCAAACUCAUAGUUUGAGCUUCCCUGC
rnacentral:misc_RNA from 1 species